rnacentral:rRNA from 1 species
GACAGAGGUGCCAAGCGUUAGGCGGAAUCACUGGGCUUAAAGCGUGUGUAGGCGGCCCGUUAAGUGUCUUGUGAAAUCCCCCGGCUUAACUGGGAGGGUGCGCCGGAAACUGGGCCGCUGGAGUACGGGAGAGGCAAGCGGAAUUCCAGGUGUAGCGGUGAAAUGCGUAGAUAUCUGGAGGAACACCCGUGGUGCAGACGGCUUGCUGGACCGUGACUGACGCUGAGGCACGAAAGCGUGGGUAGCAAACAGG